UAAAGACCACUCAAGCGAUUUUGCUUGGUAUUGGAAGAAGAGUGCCUCUGGCCCUCCCUUCCGAAAUUCAAUGGCGGAAAGUCUCACGUGCCCCGGCGUAGUAAGUUUAUCUUUCGCUUGGACCAUGAGGCGUUCUCGCCCUCAAAUCCCCAAUACUAUAGGUUGACCUCGGAUCAGGUAGGGAUACCCGCUGAACUUAA
rnacentral:misc_RNA from 1 species